GAUGAACGCUGACAGAAUGCUUAACACAUGCAAGUCUUUGGCGAAGCCGUGCUUGCCCAGCCUAGCCAGGGCGGACGGGUGAGUAAUGCGACAGGAACUUGCUCUGCAGUCAGGGAUAACAGACGGAAACGACUGAUAAUACCAGCUAAAGUCAGCCGGACUCAUGUGCUGCCUGAUGAAAAGUGGGGCGGGAGGAGAGCCUUGGGUCCUAUUAGCUUGUUGGUGGGGUAAUGGCUCACCAACGGGAUGAUGGGUAGUGGGCCGGAGGGGGUGGAGGGCCACAAGGAGACUGAGAUACGGCACUUACUCCUACGGGGGACAGGUGUGGGAAAUAUUGGACUGUGCGGGAGACCCUGAUCCAACAAUUCUGUGUGCAAGAUGAAGGUUUUCGGAUUGUAAAGUGCUUUCAGCAGAGGAGAAAAAAAUGACGGUACCUGCAGAAGAAGCGACGGCUAAAUACGUG
rnacentral:rRNA from 1 species